AUUGAACGCUGGCGGCAUGCCUUACACACGCAAGUCGAACGGUAACAGGUCUUCGGAUGCUGACGAGUGGCGAACGGGUGAGUAAUACAUCGGAACGUGCCUAGUAGUGGGGGAUAACUACUCGAAAGAGUGGCUAAUACCGCGUGAGAUCUACGGAUGAAAGCGGGGGGUCGCAAGACCUUGUGCUACUAGAGCGGCCGAUGGCAGAUUAGGUAGUUGGUGGGAUAAAAGCUUACCAAGCCGACGAUCUGUAGCUGGUCUGAGAGGACGAUCAGCCACACUGGGACUGAGACACGGCCCAGACUCCUACGGGAGGCAGCAGUGGGGAAUUUUGGACAAUGGGCGAAAGCCUGAUCCAGCAAUGCCGCGUGCAGGAUGAAGGCCUUCGGGUUGUAAACUGCUUUUGUACGGAACGAAAAGCCCCGGGUUAAUACCCUGGGGUCAUGACGGUACCGUAAGAAUAAGCACCGGCUAACUACGUGCCAGCCGCCGCCGUAA
rnacentral:rRNA from 1 species